rnacentral:rRNA from 1 species
CGACGGUGAGUAACACGUAUCCAACCUGCCGUCUACUCUUGGACAGCCUUCUGAAAGGAAGAUUAAUACAAGAUGGCAUCAUGAGUCCGCAUGUUCACAUGAUUAAAGGUAUUCCGGUAGACGAUGGGGAUGCGUUCCAUUAGAUAGUAGGCGGGGUAACGGCCCACCUAGUCUUCGAUGGAUAGGGGUUCUGAGAGGAAGGUCCCCCACAUUGGAACUGAGACACGGCCCAA